rnacentral:rRNA from 1 species
UACAGAGGGUGCGAGCGUUAAUCGGAAUUACUGGGCGUAAAGCGUGCGUAGACGGUUAUUUAAGUCGGGUGUGAAAGCCCCGGGCUCAACCUGGGAAUUGCAUUCGAGACUGAAUAGCUAGGGGUACGGUAGAGGGAAGUGGAAUUUCCGGUUGUAGCGGUGAAAUGCGUAGAUAUCGGGAGGAACGACCAGUGGCCGAAGGGCGAAGCUUUCUGGUCCUGGUUCCUUGACUGUCUG